rnacentral:rRNA from 1 species
GCACAAUGGAGGAAACUCUGAUGCAGCCAUGCCGCGUGUGUGAAGAAGGCCUUCGGGUUGUAAAGCACUUUCAGUUGUGAGGAAAGCUUGGUGGUUAAUACCCAUCAGGUAUGACGUUAGCAACAGAGGAAGGACCGGCUAACUCCGUGCCAGCAGCCGCGGUAAUACGGAGGGUCCGAGCGUUAAUCGGAAUUACUGGGCGUAAAGCGCACGCAGGCGGUUUGUUAAGCUAGAUGUGAAAGCCCCGGGCUCAACCUGGGAAUAGCAUUUAKAACUGGCAGACUASAGUCUUGGAGAGGGGAGUGGAAUUUCUGGUGUAGCGGUGAAAUGCGUAGAUAUCAGAAGGAACAUCAGUGGCGAAGGCGACUCCCUGGCCAAAGACUGACGCUCAUGUGCGAAAGUGUGGGUAGCGAACAGGAUUAGAUACCCUGGUAGUCCACACCGUAAACGCUGUCUACUAGCUGUUUGUGGAUUUAAUCCGUGAGUGGCGAAGCUAACGCGAUAAGUAGACCGCCUGGGGAGUACGGCCGCAAGGUUAAAACUCAAAGGAAUUGACGGGG